rnacentral:rRNA from 1 species
UGGCGGCGUGCCUAAUACAUGCAAGUCGAACGCACUCUCGUUUAGAUUGAAGGAGCUUGCUCCUGAUUGAUAAACAUUUGAGUGAGUGGCGGACGGGUGAGUAACACGUGGGUAACCUGCCCUAAAGUGGGGGAUAACAUUUGGAAACAGAUGCUAAUACCGCAUAAAACCUAACACCGCAUGGUGUAGGGUUGAAAGAUGGUUUCGGCUAUCACUUUAGGAUGGACCCGCGGUGCAUUAGUUAGUUGGUGAGGUAAAGGCUCACCAAGACCGUGAUGCAUAGCCGACCUGAGAGGGUAAUCGGCCACACUGGGACUGAGACACGGCCCAGACUCCUACGGAGGCAGCAGUAGGGAAUCUCCCACAAUGGACGAAAGUCUGAUGGAGCAACGCCGCGUGAGUGAAGAAGGUUUUCGGAUCGUAAAACUCUGUUGUUGGAGAAGAAUGUAUCUGAUAGUAACUGAUCAGGUAGUGACGGUAUCCAACCAGAAAGCCACGGCUAACUACGUG